GAGUAAGUUUAUGGUUAUAUAAACAACAGUAAAUUUUAUUAAGGUUUCUUUUAAUGUAAUUUUAAAUUAUAAACAACUCAUUUCUUAGAGAAUUAAUUAUUUUUGUACAAUGAUUUAUUUAAUACAGUUAAAAAUUUAUUAUAGGUUAAUUAACGUGCCAGCUACCGCGGUUAUACAUUAUAUAAAAAUUAAAUUUUAUUUCCAUUAUUUUUCUUAAUUUAGUAAAAUAAGCUAUAUGUUAUAAAUAUUUUUAAUAUUUAUAAUAAAGAAAAAUUUUUAUAAUCAUAUUUAAAAAUUGAUUAGUACCAAUUUAUAAAAAAAAAAAAUAGAAUAGAAAAGAAAUCAAUUAAUUAGGCGGUCGACCUAAAAUAGGGAAGCUUGUAUAUUAAAAUGAUAGUCCUCAUUAAUUUAUGUACUAAUGUCUACUUGUAGUGUAUGUCCGUAACUCUUUAUUAUUAAAAUAAUAAAGAAAACAUUAUUACAUAUAUAUUUAUGUAAUAAUUUAUUACAGGUCUUUAUGCUCUUAGCAUUAGGUUAUAUUAGCUUUUAUAUGAAAUAGUGUAAAAUAGAAUAUUUUUAAAUAAACUUAUAAGUAAAAAUAAUAAUAUUGUUUUGAAUUUUUAUGGUUGAAGCACUCACUGCCCGCUAUAUAGUUUUAUUAUAAAGGCGUAACAAGGUAGUUAUUCCAGAAGGAAUAACUGGUAAUCUAGA
ensembl:Mt_rRNA